AGUGAACGCUGGCGGCGUGCCUAAUACAUGCAAGUCGAACGCGAAAGUCCUUCGGGAUGAGUAAAGUGGCGCACGGGUGAGUAAUGCAUGAGAACAUGCCCUUAGAUGGGGAAUAACGUUUGGAAACGAACGCUAAUACCGCAUAAUCUCGAGAGAGUAAAGGUGGCGCCGCAAGGGCUACCGUCUAAGGAUUGGCUCAUGUCCCAUUAGCUAGUUGGCGGGGUAAUGGCCCACCAAGGCAACGAUGGGUAUGUGGUCUGAGAGGAUGAUCACACACACUGGAACUGAGACACGGUCCAGACUCCUACGGGAGGCAGCAGUAGGGAAUAUUGCACAAUGGGGGAAACCCUGAUGCAGCAACGCCGCGUGAGUGAAGAAGGCCCUUGGGUCGUAAAGCUCUUUAGCGAGGGAAGAGGGUAGAUACGGUGAAUAAUCGUGUUUGCUGACGAUACCUCGAGAAUAAGCACCGGCUAAUUCCGUGCCAGCCGCCGCAGUAA
rnacentral:rRNA from 1 species